CGAGCCCGGGGCCCCUCCCCUCCCCGCCCCGCCGCAGCGCGGCCCCAGCCCCGGCUGCUGCCCCGGCAGCGGGAUCCGGGCCAGGGGCCGUGGAGCCCCGCCUGCCCCCGGGGCUGCCACCGCCCUCUCGCAGCCGUGCCCUCGGGCGUCGGGAUGCGGCGAGGGCCCGGGCUGAGCCCUGCCGGGGCGAGGAGAACGUGCGGCCGCAGGGCUGGCAGCGCCGCUGAGAGGGAGCUGUGCCGCUGGGGCCGUGACAGGCUCUGUGUUCCCAGGCAUCGCCGGGCGGCACCUGAGGGGCCAGCAGGAAGAGCUCCAGCUCAUCUGCGAGGCCCUUGAAGACGCGUCCCGUGACAUCAGCCCUGCCGUUUCCAGCCUGGCGCGUCAAACAGCCUACGUCCUGCGGGCCCUGGAGAGAGCUCCGCGCUCCAUCUUCCAGGUGCUGCGAGAUGGACUCCGCAGGGCAUGCAGGACACGGCCUCGUCUGUCGGGCCGUGGCUAGCUGCAGUGCUGCAGCUCUGCAGCGACCUGAUCUGGGAGGCUCUCUCUGCUGGGGCCACCUGAGCCAGCGGGCAUUUUUCUUUCAGAUGGUUCUUUUCUUCUUUUGGUUUUUCCUUUAUAUGUAAAUAUAGAAUGUGUUUGUCUGAGAUUAAAAAUAGUUCAUGCCUCAACCAUC